UUUGGCGUGACUAAUGGUAGAAUAGUGGUGGACUAAUGGCAGCAUAGUGGUCAUGCCAUUCUCUAUAACACCACAAAAUAAAAAAAUAAUUUGAGUUAAAAAAAUAAAAAUCACUUAAAAAAAAGUCUGACACAAUAAAAGUGGUGACACCAAUCCAUUUGGCUCAACCAUUAUUCUACCAUUGGUUACGCCAAAUAUAUUGACCCCUCCACAAAAUUUAUAUUAUGCCC
rnacentral:lncRNA from 1 species